rnacentral:misc_RNA from 1 species
GAAAUGCGAUAAGUAAUGUGAAUUGCAGAAUUCAGUGAAUCAUCGAAUCUUUGAACGCACAUUGCGCUCUUUGGUAUUCCGGAGAGCAUGCCUGUUUGAGAAUCAGUAAAUUCAUCAACCCAUAGCUUUGGGGAUUUAUUCCCGGGGCUGGAAGGUCGGAUAUGGGCUUUCUGCGGCCGUUUUGGCAGCAGCAGCCAAAAAUUAAAUGUUACGCUCCUCUGGACUGACCAAGUCUUGAGCAAACGCAUGAAUGAGGCAACUCAGCAGUACGUGAGCUCGAUCCUAAAGCAGUUUAUGGCUGGGUAACUCAACCAAUUAUCCGGGAUUUGCAGGCUUCAGCCAGCUUAUUCUGAACACUUGGUCUCAAAUCAGGUAGGAAAACCCGCUGAACUUAA